AAAGGAAUUGACGGGGGCCCGCACAAGCGGUGGAGCAUGUGGUUUAAUUCGAAGCUACGCGAAGAACCUUACCAGGUCUUGACAUCUUGCGCUAACCUCAGAGAUGAGGCGUUCCCUUCGGGGACGCAAUGACAGGUGGUGCAUGGUCGUCGUCAGCUCGUGUCGUGAGAUGUUGGGUUAAGUCCCGCAACGAGCGCAACCCUUGUUACUAGUUGCCAGCAUUCAGUUGGGCACUCUAGUGAGACUGCCGGUGACAAACCGGAGGAAGGUGGGGACGACGUCAGAUCAUCAUGCCCCUUAUGACCUGGGCUACACACGUGCUACAAUGGGCGAUACAACGAGCUGCAAACCCGCGAGGGUAAGCUAAUCUCUUAAAAUCGUUCUCAGUUCGGACUGUAGUCUGCAACCCGACUACACGAAGUCGGAAUCGCUAGUAAUCGCGGAUCAGCAUGCCGCGGUGAAUACGUUCCCGGGCCUUGCACACACCGCCCGU
rnacentral:rRNA from 1 species